rnacentral:misc_RNA from 1 species
CGCAGCCGCGGUAAUUCCAGCUCCAAUAGCGUAUAUUAAAGUUGUUGCAGUUAAAAAGCUCGUAGUUGAAUUUCGGGGUUAGUAGGUUGGUCAUGCCUCUGGUAUGUACUGGUCUCACUGAUUCCUCCUUCCUGAUGAGCCGUAAUGCCAUUAAUUUGGUGUUGCGGGGAAUCUGGACUGUUACUUUGAAAAAUUAGAGUGUUUAAAGCAAGCUAACGCUUGAAUACAUUAGCAUGGAAUAAUGAAAUAGGACGUUCGAUCCUAUUUUGUUGGUUUCUAGGAUUGACGUAAUGAUUAAUAGGGAUAGUUGGGGGCAUUAGUAUUCAAUUGUCAGAGGUGAAAUUCUUGGAUUUAUUGAAGACUAACUACUGCGAAAGCAUUUGCCAAGGAUGUUUUCAUUAAUCAAGAACGAAAGUUAGGGGAUCGAAGACGAUCAGAUACCGUCGUAGUCUUAACCAUAAACUAUGCCGACUAGGGAUCGGAUGAUGUUAAUUUUUAAUGACUCAUUCGGCGCCUUAAC